rnacentral:misc_RNA from 1 species
GGAAGGAUCAUUACCGAAUUGUCAACAAGAGUUGUUGCUGGUCCCUGUAUGGGGGCAUGUGCACACUCUGUUUACACAUCCACUCACACCUGUGCACCCUCUGUAGUUCUAUGGCCUGGGUGGGCUCUGUCCCCCUGCUGUGGUUCUACGUCUUUACACACACACUACAACAAAGUCUCAUGGAAUGUAUGUCGCGUUUAACGCAAUGAAAUACAACUUUCAGCAACGGAUCUCUUGGCUCUCGCAUCGAUGAAGAACGCAGCGAAAUGCGAUAAGUAAUGUGAAUUGCAGAAUUCAGUGAAUCAUCGAAUCUUUGAACGCACCUUGCGCCCUUUGGCUAUUCCGAAGGGCAUGCCUGUUUGAGUAUCAUGAACACCUCAACU